ACAGUGAGCACGCUGGCAGUAUACACACUGUUAUUCACUGUACUGUAUAUAUACACAGUGAGCAUGCUGACAGUAUACACACUAUUAUUCACUGUACUGUAUAUAUACACAGUGAGCACGCUGGCAGUAUACACACUAUUAUUCACUGUACUGUAUAUAUACACAGUGAAAACGCUGGCAGGAUACACACUAUUAUUCACUGUACU